AGAGUUUGAUCCUGGCUCAGAGCGACGUUAGCGGCGGGCUUAACACAUGCAAGUCGAGCGAGAAAGUGGCUUCGGCCAUCAGUAAAGCGGCGGACGGGUGAGUAACACGUAGGUAAUCUUCCCUUGAGCGGGGACAACGAGCCGAAAGGCUCGCUAAUACCGCAUAAGGUUCCCAGGGUCCUCGGGGCCUUGGGAGGAAAGCUAGGUAGCAAUAUCCGGCACUCGAGGAGGAGCCUGCGUCGCAUCAGCUAGUUGGUGGGGUAAUGGCCUACCAAGGCGAAGACGCGUAGCUGGUCUGAGAGGAUGAUCAGCCACACUGAAACUGAGACACGGUUCAGACUCCUACGGGAGGCAGCAGUGGGGAAUAUUGGACAAUGGGCGCAAGCCUGAUCCAGCCACGCCGCGUGAGUGAUGAAGGCCUUCGGGUCGUAAAGCUCUGUGGGGAGGGACGAACCGCCGGCGGUUAAUACCCGACGGCAUGACGGUACCCCCUUAGCAAGCACCGGCUAACUUCGUG
rnacentral:rRNA from 1 species